UUAUGCCUGGCUCCCUGUAUGCCACAAGCUAUAGCUCAAUCUUUUUCUGUUGAUUGGCUGUUGCCGGUGGCGUGCGAGGAGCCAAGCAUAC
rnacentral:pre_miRNA from 1 species